CAUGCGGGCGGCUAGAGUUUAUCUCUUCUAAAUACAGGCCUUUCCGUCUUGGAGACAUUUUGGGCGAGACUUGUACAGAAGAAACCAAGGUGCCGGAAUGGUGGUCUACAUAGAAUAUUUGCUCAUGCUGACUUCGGUUUAUACGUUCGUUUCUGUCGAGUUAAUCUGUGCAUCAAAGAGUGCAACUCAUCAUCAUCAUGUCUGCCCGACUUACUGAAUACUGUACCUGGGAGAAAGAAAGACAGAGAAUGAUCGUCUCUACAAGUCUAGUGCACGAUCGACAUCAACUUGUGGUCCGAAGUGAGAACGGAUUCGUGAUGUAUCUGGUCUGCAGUCGGACCAACCAGGAGAGACCAAUGGAUUUAGAAAACCACGCUACCAGUUCUGACUACACUACCUGUCCGCGAUACUAUAUUGGUUCCCUUUUUUCGCGUGGAAAAGUUUGGGUUCUUUCGGACUCCCUGGGACUACCCGAGAACAACAAACCGAUAUGAAAAGCCUGAACAUAAUGGCAUCAGCGACAGCGUUGUGCGAGACGACUGGACGGACGGCGGAAUAAUGCGUCAACCACACGGCCGAUCAAGACGGGGUAUAUUUAUAUCCCGAAACCUCGGAUGUCAGCUCUAACUGUGGAUAGAGUUUAGUCUUUGUAUGAGGACCUAUGGAAUACCCUCUUGUAUUGAGCUUUCUGAUGAUUGACCAUCAUGUAUACAAAGAUGGUGUAAGGCAUGAAGAAACUUACAUUCACAUAAGCACUCACACCGAAGUUUACCCACGCCUGUGCACUGCGUGUGGACGUAAGUAGAACAUUGGGCAGCACGAAGGUCUUGGCGAGGCCACCCCCUCAUAAACUGGACUAACAUCUGUAACCUCUUCUUCAUGGUGUCCAUUGUGCGGCAACUCUCUACAAAUUGGAGCCGGUCUAUAUUUUGGUAAGACGGACACACAGAUCUAAGUAACUUUGGACAAAGUGGAAACCACCAUUCAUUACCUGGGAAUAUGGGCCCUUUUAAUAUUUCUCAGUUUUCCUGCACAUUAAUGCUUCCAUUAAGAUCAAGUACUUGUCUGACAAUUACAACAAUGUUCAGAUUAAUGCUAAUGAACAAAGCAAUAAAACAUCAGCCUGUUAGAAACUAUACUUACAAAUAAAUAGCACUCCAGUAAUUCUUACACAAUAUGUAAUUACCUAUGUCCACUAAUUAACCAUGUAGACAAUGAUAUAUGGCAACAUGCACCUAGUUAUGACAACUGAAGGGAAAGAGUUCUCAAAAGUGCUGUGUAUUCUUUCACAGGCAGAAAGAAAGUGGAUAAUACUUCAUGUUCAUGAAGGUGGUAUUCAUACAUGUACUUUAAAAUGAUAAUGUUGAAGGCAAAAUUGUGCUAUUCUAUGUCUAUAAUUAUAUAUAUAAAUUUUCCAGACUAUUGUUUCAGAAACAAAUAGCAGUGCUCAAGAUAAAUUGGCUUAUGUACCAGUAUCCCUUGAUCUCAAUAUACUACCAUGCAUCUCCAUGCCUGGCAUCAGGAAAGGCAUGCCUUGAACACUUGGACCAGCACAUUGCAACAAUCCAUAAAACUAUACAGUAUUUAACAUCAUUUCAUAUCACAACAGAAAGUCUAGUCAACUUAACUACUUCCUUCCCAUAAUUCAAAUGGGGCAAAUGAUGACAAUUCAAAUGUUCAGUUCAAUACACACCAACAACUGCUAGUAUUCUACAUGUCUAGUGUAAUGACUAGAGUAAUGUCCAGUUAGUGUGGUUUGCUGGAGAAUCCUGCAGCCUGCUGUGGGUUGUGCCAGUUCUGCUACAUGGCUAACAAUGACCCUUCAGCCCAACAAGCACACUCCCAACAGGCGCUGGAGAAGGACAGAAGGGGCUCUCCACACAGGCUCUUCUCCAAAACGCAAGCAAACUGUGUUUCUUUGCUGAGUGAUCUAUGUUAAACACAGCAGUGGCUCUAUCAUCACUGAACAACCUGGUUAAAGAGGUGCUGCCAACUGCGAGGCGCUAGGUUAUUUAAAGUUGAUGUAUAAACUACACUUUUCUACAGGUUGCACGUACCCCAAUCAUACAGCUCCCAUUUCAAAUGUUGCAUGACUAGACCAAACAGAGAACCUGCAUGUGCAGCCAUAUAGCGUACUGCCUCCAAAAAUAGAAUGAAACCACUUUGGCAAAUAGCGCUUCAGGUUGAGCAGCAUGUCACUCACAAAUAUAUAUAUCUAUAUAUCUAAUGUAAGGAAAGAAGCAUAUUCUUACAAAUGUAGAAAUGCUCCUAUAUGCUCCUACAUUUCCAAGUUGUUUCUGCUAACAGUACUAGUGGUUAAUUUGCAGUCUAACAUUGAGAAGUAAACCUGAUGUUCACAAGAAAACAGGCAACUGGAUAGAUUUUGGAAACUGUCAAAUGUUUCAAUUAGCAUCCACCACUAUUCGCCAGUGCUUUCAAAAUCUAUCCAGAUGCUUGAGUAACUGCUCUUGUGUAUCUAGUCAUCUAGGUGUCUAACCUUCAUUGACAUAAACCUGAUGUUAUUCUACAAGUUUGAAUGAAACUGAGUUAUCAGCACUAUCUGUUUCCUGACAUAAACAGCAGCUUUCUUGAGCAAUAACUACCCUCCUUAGGCCCUGUGACAUCAGCUAAGUUUCUGUACAAACAUGAGCUGCCCUCUUACAGCCAGGGUGUACUGAGAAGCAGCAGCAGGGACUGAUUAUGAUCCUGGGGCGUGAGAACAGGUAAGGCUACACCUUCUAGGCCAGGCCCACCCACUUACUGGGCUCACCUGCACAGACCCAGACUGCCAAGGGAAACAUGAAGCCUUCUCUAGAACAGAUAUUCUCUUCCUAGCUGUCAAAUAGCUGUCAGACAAAUGCAGACAUGCCUCUGCACAAGCCCGUAUAACUUUCACCGCUAAGUCUCUUCAUAAUCAAGCACCUCUUACUGAAAACAGUUUGAGGUGCUCAUAAUCACGUAUGGGCAACCAUGAGAAGAUAACGCUCAGAGGUAUUGAUAGUUCUGCUAUGAUUUUGUCUAGUUCAUCUUCUACUGCAAAGGCACUGAAUGAUUAACUUCUCUCUAAAGGCAUUCACUGGAAAAUAAGGCCCUUCUGUCUCUGGUACAUUUCCUGUCAAGUUAUAAAACAUACUCAACCCUUAUCAUCAUACAGCAACAAUACAGUUUCACUGAGCUUUCUAUCAUCACAAGGAAUAUCAGCUCAUUGUAAUUCUUCCAAACAAGGCUUCCUCUGAUACUAACAUCAAGGCAUUCAGGUUAAGCAGCUCAUCUCACAUCUGGUGCCACCUCAACACUUAUCAUCUCUUUCAAGGGAACAUAAUAGCCAUGCACAUCUAACCUCAGUAAUAUCGUCUUUUCAUUCCAACACUGUAAAAUUGAACUACAAUGUACUAACAGAGAAGGAUAUUGCUGGUGGUAAAAUAUCGCCGAGUGAAACACUGGAGUCAGUACAAAUUAGUGACAAAUGACAAGAGCACACUGUCAUAAUUCUGGUGACACCAAAGUCCAAAUAACAAGUUACAUUAUACAUUAUACCUGCUCACAGUCUGCUCAUUAGUACAUGCUUAAGUGUACAUUUUAACACAUUUGUUACAUUAUUAUUGAAGCAGCAACCUAUAAAUAUAUACAUCAAUGAACAAAUUCCUCAUGACUGUUACUGUUGCACCUGGUGAUACAAGUCUUCUCAAUAAAGACACUUUCAACAAGUGGUCAUGCAAACACAGGGGGAGACAGAACUAUUUUUUACAGAACAAAUAUUAAAAACAAACAGAAACAAGAACAAAUACAAGAACAAAUUCCCUGUGUGACUAGUGCCUACAUGUACUUUGUUUAGAGUCUGACACGAGUUUCCAACAUAAACAUCAUGUUGAACAAAAGUGGAGUCACUGUCAGGUCAUGGGAACUUUUACCACUGAGGGGGUAGAUGGAAACAGCAAUGUAAGAAUGUUACAAGUGAAUAAAGCCACAAAGAUUAGAAAUGAUAUGUCUUGGCCUUUUUACAUUUUAAGUGGUAUCAUGAACUCUACCUUCAUAAAGACUU